rnacentral:lncRNA from 1 species
UACCAAGAUUCCAACAGGAGAAUCUAGACAACAACAAGAUUCUCUACGAGAAAGUCCAAGAGAUGGCGACAAAGAAAAGCUGCACUCCUGCACAACUAGCUCUAGCAUGGGUUCACCACCAAGGAGAUGAUGUUUGUCCUAUUCCAGGAACCUCCAAGAUCCAAAACCUCAACCAGAACAUUGGAGCUUUAUCAGUGAAGCUCACUCCUGAAGAGAUGGUUGAGCUUGAAGCCAUUGCUCGACCGGAUUUCGUGAAAGGGGAACGAUAUGACAACAACAUGGUUACUUACAAAGACUCAGAGACUCCACCAUUGUCUUCUUGGAAAGAAAAAUAAAAUACAUGUUUGGAAACUGUUUUGAGGGUAUACCGCAUUGGCCAAAUCGAGGUAAUAUUGUGCUGAAGAUGUGUCUGUGUGAAAUAAGUUAAGUAUAUGGGUGUGCGAGUUUGCAAUAAGAAAGAACCAAUGCCUUAGAAAGAAUAAAGGUUUUGUACAAAGCAAUGCAUUAUGCUUUCAAGAAUAAAAUAUGCAUAAUGCAUUAUGAAGAUUCCAUUACUUUAUCUUGAACGGGGUGAGAGAAAAAGUGGUUGCAACUUGCAAGUUCCACAAGUUAAUAAUUGAUUGAGAAAGAAAGUGAAUAGAUGUUAGACUAUAUCAAAAAUGAAUUUGACUUAUGAAGAUUCCAUUACUUUAUUGGUUAACAAAUUCAAUUUUGUUUUCGUUAAGACAGGAAAAAACUGCACCAAUUAGACAAAAGCGACACGGCUUUUUCUUGUUCAUCAUCACACCAACCAAACUCCACUCAAAUUCACAGCUCUACCUAGACAAGUCAAUAGACAAAGAGAGAGAGAGAGUUGUGACAAGAGAUUCAUGGCGGAACCUUGCCGAGUGAGAAGGAUGAAGCUAGGAAGCCAAGGCCUUGAGGUAUCGGCGCAAGGCCUUGGUUGCAUGGGCCUCUCUGCUUUCUACGGUGCUCCCAAGCCGGAAACCGAAGCCAUCGCUCUCAUCCACCACGCUAUUCACUCCGGUGUCACUUUCCUUGAUACCUCUGACAUUUACGGUCCUGAAACCAACGAGGUUCUUCUCAGCAAGGUUCGAUUUUUGAUCAUUCCCCAUCUUCGAUUUCAUAUUGAUAUUGUUUAAUAGAGGAACUGGCCUUGAUUCGUUGAGCUUCAUAGCUGUAGAAAGGAUUCCGAUGUUGCAAGUUUGGAUUUUUGUUGAAAAUUUGGAUUUUUGUCAGGCUCUGAAGGAUGGAGUGAGAGAAAAAGUGGAACUUGCCACCAAAUAUGGAAUCAGGUAUGCAGAGGGGAAAGUAGAGUUUAACGGAGAUCCUGCGUAUGUAAGAGCUGCGUGUGAGGCAAGUUUAAAGAGGCUAGAUGUUACCUGCAUUGAUCUCUAUUAUCAGCAUCGAAUUGAUACUCGUGUCCCUAUCGAAAUCACUGUAAGUAAGCCCUCUCCUUUUCAAUCUUCCUUGAUGGUUUUGCAACUUUCAAAUGAAAUGGAAGUUAUGUACUUCAUCUCCGUGGCUAGGGACAUGUUGGGGCUAAUAUAGAGUUGAAGAAUUUAGAUUUCAGAACCUGUAAAAUGAUCUGGUGAAAUGAUCUUGAACUGAGCGGUUUGGAGGCUUUCUCAUCUAUCAUCACCUGUAAAUAGUCCAUCUUGCGAGGAUAGGAUUGUCACUUAGUCCUUCCAAUGUGGGAUCUUAUCAUCCCCCUAAGAAUGUUUCAUUUGAAUAGACUCCUCCAUUAGGUUUGACACUGAGCUCUAAUUGGGUUGCCACACUUGAUGACCUUUAUAGAAAGCCGGCACCUUUUGCUGAACUUAACAAUCUCUUUUGUCUGUCAAUUUCAAAGAUAGGAGAGCUGAAGAAGCUAGUUGAAGAAGGUAAAAUAAAGUAUAUCGGUUUGUCAGAAGCUUCAGCUUCAACUAUUAGAAGAGCACAUGCUGUUCACCCGAUAACCGCUCUGCAAAUUGAAUGGUCCUUAUGGUCGAGAGAUGUGGAAGAAGAUAUCAUUCCAACUUGCAGGUAUCCAGAUUUCAUUUAAUCCUCCUUUCUUGAUGCACUAUCUAUCAAGUACGUAACAUCUUCUCUCUCUUUCUUCAGGGAACUUGGAAUUGGAAUUGUUGCUUACAGUCCUCUGGGACGAGGUUUCUUUGCAUCAGGACCCAACCUUGUUGAGAACCUAGACAAUAAUGACGUCAGAAAGGCAAGUACACAGCCUUUUUAUGACUUGUUUGAUUGAUGAACUGUUGGUAAUCAACUCACUGUUUAUCUGCUCAACUCUGUUUCUUAUUGCAGACUCUACCAAGAUUCCAACAGGAAAACUUAGUUCACAACAAGAUUCUCUUUGAGAAAGUUUCUGCAAUGUCGGAGAAGAAAGGGUGCACUCCCGCACAACUAGCCCUUGCAUGGGUUCAUCACCAGGGAGAUGAUGUUUGCCCCAUCCCAGGAACCACUAAGAUUGAAAACCUUAACCAGAACAUUGGAGCUUUAUCAGUGAAACUUACUCCCGAAGAGAUGUCUGAGCUCGAGUCCCUUGCCCAACCAGAGUCUGUGAAAGGAGAAAGAUCCAUUAGCAUCCUGACCACGUUCAAGAACUCUGAGACUCCACCAUUAUCUUCUUGGAAAGCCGCUUAAAAUUGUCCGAGUUUCUCUGGUUGUUGUGGGGUUCAUGACACUGAAGUGGUCUAACUUAUAUCAGCCAGAUCAAGGUAAUAAAUGUGUUAAUGCCUUGAAGAAUAAAUAAUUUAUAGAGUUCCCCAGGUGAAAACUUCAAUUUACAUUUCAUACAUUGUAACCAAACUCUAUAAACAAAUAUAUGUUCUGAUACAAACUUAAAUAACGUUUACACCAAAAAUCUUACCAAGCUAUCUAUAUCGUCACCCAACUCUAUGAAGGAUAUGUGCGAUGAAAAUGUCUCGGUUCCAUCUCUUUUGUUCUUGUUUUUUUCUUCUGCAUUUCCCCCACUUCUCCUUUUUGAUUUUCAUAAUUAGUUUUGCAGAUAAAGAUUUCCAUAAUAUUCAACAAAAAAGUAUAAUUUUCAUAAAGCUAAGAAAAAGUAUUUAUUUAAAAAAUUAACUCACAGGUCAUUAGAUUUACUUCAAUUUAAUAGAGAGGUAAAGUGUUUAACUUAGACUCCGAUGAGUAACAUUAAUUACAUAAUUGCAUAAAAUUAUCACAUAAAUUGCAAAUUGAAAACUCGCAGAAAUUGUAGAAUGAAAAUUUGUGCUGAUUCAAUACAUUUGUAUACCCAUUUACUAGAUUUUAACCCGCGGUACACCGCGGGAUGAUUUAAUUUUAAAGUUAGUAUAAAAAUAUUUUGUAAAUUGUAUCUCCUUAUAACAUAUUUAUUUAUAUUAUAGUUUACAAUUGUUAUUAAGUAACGGUAUACCACGAGUCCACGAGAUAAUUAUUAAUGAACUGAGGAUUUAACCCGUAUUAAAGCGGUAUAUAAAUAUUGAUUCAAAUUCGUCCGCCAUAUAAAUCAUUUCCGAAAUAUAACCCGUUCCGUAAUUUCUUAACCCGUCCUGUGAUUUGUAUUAAAAAAAAUAAGGAUUAAAUCCGUAUUGAAGCGGCGGAUUAAUGAUAUUUUAAUCUUUUUAUUAUUGUUGAUUCAAAAACCCGUCCCGCCAAACCCAUCCCGCCAAAAAACUCAUUUAUUUUAUUAAUGUUCUUAUUUAUGAUAUGAUUCUGAAUCAUUGUCUAAAUAUUUUAAUCGAUAUAGAACGUUGAACACACAUUUUCGUCAAUUGGAUAAUAUAUGUCCGUUUUUAAAAUUUCGAAUCACAGUAUAUGCAGAAAAAAAAUUGAUUUUUUUUUUACUUUAUGUAUUAUAUGAUGAUUCAAAACAGUUAAAAACAAAUCAAACAAAGGUGAUAGGAGAAUCAUAAUUAUAAAUCUUAAUCAAAUCUUCUAAAAAUCUAAAUUAUUAAAUAUGGAAUAUCCAGUGUAUGAGUUGGGUUAAAUAUAACCCGACCCAACAAAUUUUUUGUGAAGGAAUUUUUAAAAUGGGUCGGAUAUCCGAUAUACCCGAAAGAUUUUUUACCCACCCGUCACAAAAAGUGCUGCGAUUAUACUAGUAUAGAUUUGCAGAAUGAGUUAUAGGCGAAAAAGGCAAAUUUGCGUUUUGUCAAACAUCGUAGAUAAUUUUUUUUUAUUAGUAAACUUUUUGCAUAGUCGCAUUAGAAAAUGUCAUUCAAUUUAAUAAACUUAUAAAAAAUAUAAUUGUUGUUAAAAUAUUAUAACAACAAAAAUAAAAAUAAACCUCUUCAUAAACAUUAUUAAUAGAUUUUAAAUUUGAAUUAACAAGAAAAAAAAAUUGAAGUUUAUAGUUUCUCACAAGUGAAGAAGACUGUUAAGAGUAUAUUUGGUUAAAAGGAGUUUGACUUGUGAAAAUUCCAUUACUUUUUUUGGUUAACAAUUUCAAUUUUGUUUUCGUAAAGAGGAAAAAAAACUGCACCAACCAGACAAAAGCGACACACGGCUUUUCUCUUCAUCAUCAUUCAUCAUUCACCAACCCACCACCUCCAACAACAAUAACUCCACUCAAAAUUCACAGCUCUACAAGAGUCACCUAGACAAGUCAAGAGACAGAGAAAGUUCUGACUUCUGACAGAGAUUCAUGGCGGAAGCUUGCGGAGUGAGAAGGAUGAAGCUGGGAAGCCAAGGCCUUGAGGUAUCGGCGCAAGGCCUCGGUUGCAUGGGCCUCUCUGCUUUCUACGGUGCUCCCAAGCCGGAAACUGACGCCAUCGCUCUCAUCCACCACGCUAUUCACUCCGGUGUCACUUUCCUUGACACCUCUGACAUCUAUGGUCCUGAAACCAACGAGGUUCUCCUCGGAAAGGUUCGAUUUUUAUGAUUCCCGAUCUUCGAUUUGAUCUUCGGUUUUAAAAUUUUGUUCUCUUUUGGGCAACAAAGAACGAUUUAGAGAUGGGAAUUGGCCUUUGAUUUCUUUGAGCUUCAUAGCUGUAGAAUUGAUUUCAAAGUUUGGAUUUUUUUCAGGCUCUGAAAGAUGGAGUUAGAGAAAAAGUGGAACUUGCAACCAAAUUUGGGAUCAGUUAUGCAGAGGGAAAGAGAGAGGUGAGAGGAGAUCCUGAGUAUGUAAGGGCUGCUUGUGAGGCUAGUUUAAAGAGGCUAGAUAUUGCCUGUAUUGAUCUUUAUUAUCAGCACCGUGUCGAUACUCGUGUUCCUAUCGAAAUCACUGUAAGCUUCCUCUUGCAAAUCCUCCUUCAUGCUAUAGUUUCAAAGUUUACAAUUUGGUUAGUCUUAGUCUUUUACUCUUGUCCCUACCGAAAUCACUGUAAGCCCUCUUGCCAAUCCUACUUAAUGGAUUUGAAACUUUCAAAUGAAAUGGAAGUUAUAUAGUUCACUACUUCAAGAGAAAUCUCAGAGAGCUUCACAUCUUGGCUUGGUUUAUCGGACUAAUAGGGACAAAGAAAAUAGAUUGGAGAUGAUGUUUUCUGCUUAGGUUAUUACUCUUUCGAAGUGGCUAGCUUAUUCACAAAGAACAAUGUCUGGUGUAAUGAUCUUUAACUGAGAGAUUUUGAGGCUUUCUUAUCUACUUUCACCUAUAAGUACUCUCCUAAGCCAGCUUGUGAAGAUAGGGUGCCCUUUGGACCUAUUAGCCAUUCACUUUUUCCUCUCCUUUCCAAUGUGGUAUGUUUGGUGAUAAUUAGUCCCUCAGUACCAUCUCCUCUAAGGAUUUUUCGUAUGAAUAGACUCUGUUAGGGUCGGUUCUGAGCUCUACUUCCUGACCUUCAUAGAAAGCCGAAAUCUUUUCCUGAACUUAACCAUUUUUUUGUCUGUCAAUUCCAAGAUGGGAGAACUGAAGAAGCUGGUUGAAGAGGGUAAAAUAAAGUACAUUGGUUUGUCUGAAGCCUCUGCUUCAACUAUCAGAAGAGCGCAUGCUGUUCACCCAAUUACUGCUGUGCAGUUAGAAUGGUCCUUGUGGACGAGAGAUGUGGAAGAAGAAAUCAUUCCGACCUGCAGGUAUUCAGGUUUCAUCCUACUUUCCUGGUGCAAUAUCUAUCAAUCAUGCAAAUUCAUAUUCUCUUUCCUUCUUCAGGGAACUUGGGAUUGGGAUUGUUGCUUACAGUCCUCUAGGACGAGGUUUCUUCGCAUCUGGACCCAAGCUUGUUGAGAACCUAGAAAAGGAUGACUUCAGAAAGGCAAGUACAUAGUCUUUGUGUAUGACUUGUUUGAUUGAUGAACCUUACAUAACCUGUGGAUAAAUCAAAUGACUUUAUACAAACUCAAUUAUUGCAGGCUCUACCAAGAUUCCUAGAGAAAAACUUAGACCACAACAAGAUUGUUUAUGAGAAGGUUUGUGCAAUCUCGGAAAAGAAAGGAUGCACUCCUGCACAGUUAGCUCUGGCAUGGGUUCACCACCAGGGAGAUGAUGUUUGUCCCAUCCCAGGAACCACUAAGAUCGAAAACCUCAACCAGAACAUUGGAGCUUUAUCAGUGAAACUCACUCCCGAAGAGAUGACUGAGCUUGAGGCCAUUGCCCAACCAGGUUUUGUGAAAGGGGAAAGAUACAGUAGCAUGAUACCCACUUUCAAAAACUCUGAGACACCGCCAUUGUCUUCUUGGAAAGCUGCUUAAAAUCGUCUGAGUUUGUCUGGUUGUUGUGGGGUUCAUGACACUGAAGUGGUCUAACUUAUGUCAGUCAGAUCAAGGUAAUAAAUGUGUUAAUGCCGUGAAGAAUAAAUAAUGUAUAGAGUUCCCCCAAGUGAAAACUUCAAUUUACAUUUUCAUACAUUGUAACCAAACUCUAAAAAAUAAGUAGUUAUUUUCACUUGAAGUUAUUUUCACUUGAAGUUAUUUUCGGUUUGGUUUAAUUAAACCAGGAUUCGGGUGUUAUUUUCGGUCCAACACUUAAACAAGCGAAGCGACCCAAUUGGUUGGUUAAUCAUCAUCUUCAUCGAGUCACACCCUAGUUUGCCACUAAACCGAAAAAAUGAAUCUGGCCUGCCAUUUUAUGAUCUAUAUGCCACUAUAUAUAUGUGUUAUCUCCAUUUUACCCUUAAUGAAUUAUUCCUUAUUUAAUUUUUAAAAAGCAAAAGAGAAAAUAAAAAAAAAAACAAAACUCUCAGUAUGUGGGUCCCAAAAAACGUUUAGCGUAUGAUUUUUUUUUAAUGUUGUAUUUACUCGAUAUAUGGGUCCUACUAAAAAGUUUUUUUUUUUUUUUUUUCGGCAGAAUAAUACUCAUAGUUGUCCAGUUGUACUAUCAUAAUCAUAGUUGAACUUUCCACAGUUUUCAUAAUUUGCAGUUGGACGAGACUGUAAAUUAUUUUGCAUUACCAAAGUUUUCAUAAUGGAACAUUGGUGAAAACUACAUUUUCACUUUUUUUACUUCAUAUAUGGUGAUUAUAUACUAAGUAUUCCUUAUAGUAGAAAGGAUGUUUUAUGUGAAAACAACAUUAUUUCUUAGAAGUUAUUAAUUGUAUUGAUCCGAAAUAGUUUGUUUAUAUUUUGGGGAAUUUAAUAUAUAAUUUUACGUUUAUAAUAAAUCAAAUUAUUAUAAGUUAUAAAUUAGGAUUCUAUAAAAAAAUUCUCCAAAAAAAUCUUCAAAUAUAUAUAAACUAUUUUAAAUCAAUACAACCAUAAUUUAUAAAUUUUGUAGCAAGCUUUGUUUUUUUUUUUGUUUUUUCACAUAAAACACUCCUUCUAGUAUAAGGAAGACUUAGUACAUGAUCACCUCGUAUGAAGCAAAAGAGGUAAAAACCAAAUUUUCCUGAACAUUGUAUUAUGAAAACCUCGUAUAUGCUAAUUAAUAGUGAACAAUCAUGUGUCCAACUACUAAUUAAUAAUUUAUACAAUAGUUCAACUGAAAAUACGAAAAAUUCGCCAAAGUCCAACUAUGAAUAUGAGAGUACAACUGGACAACUAUGACUAUAUCCAGCCGCCAAAUCCAAACGUGCAUUUUACUCAGGCCCACAACUGUGCACUUUAGUCGGACCUACAACUGUGCAUUUUACGACACGUAGGAUGAUUUUAAAACAUUUUAUAUUGAAACAUUUUAUAUUUUUUUUAUUUUUUUUUUCUACUUUUCUUCUUUCUCAGUUUAUCUAGUUGGACCGAAUAAUUAGAUCUCAGUUGUACCUAAUAAUUGCAGUUGUACCAAAAUAUCAUCAAAGUACAUAAACAAAAGAUAUAGUUUACCAUAUAUAAACAUCAGUUUCGUUGGAUCUGUAGUUUUCAGUUUCAGUGUCCGCUUCAUCUUCUUUCUCUCAAGUAGUGGGUUAUUGGAUUUGGGUCGAAUUAUUUUGGUUGGGUCUGUAGUUUCCAAUCAUCUAAAAGGUACAUUUCCAUCGCUUUUGAUUUUUUAAAAAAUGGUAAAUAAAAUUACAAAGAAGACGGUGGCAUUCUAGCAUUUUUUUCCGGAGAAAGUGGCUUUCUAGCCAUUGUUUCAUCUUCAUCAGAGAUCAACCCAACUUCACUCAAUGCUGAUGAUGCAGUCUCAGCUCUUAAAAAGCAUAAAUCAAAGUGAAAGAAACCAUUACCACCGUGGGUCGUUCGAUUGCAACUAAAUAAUGUGAAUCAUUUCCAGUUCAACAAUGGAAGGUCUUCGAGAAUCUGAGCAUCUCUUCGUCAAUAAGGACCUCGUCGUGCGUCUCUCUCUCUCUCUAUUCAUCUAUAUAUUUCCUUAUCUGUGUUGCAGACAUUAAACGAUAGAUAAAGGAAAUGAUGUCAUGUGAUCAUCUCAAUUUAGGAUUUUCCUGGUUUAUGUCUGCUACACUAAACCCUAAAUGAUCGAUCCUCUUCAGUAGUAGCUUAAGAAUCUCCAUGGUCAAAAAGGCUUCUUUAUUUUCUCUCACUAAUAUCAUUGUUGCUUUUUUUUUAUGGCUGGAUUAGGAAUUUUAGUUAUCAAUGGAGCAAUUGGCACAAACCCUUUUUCUGAUUUUAGUCUUUUUCACAUGACAGGAUGAUUAUGUCGAAAUUUCCGGUAAAGAUGAUACAUCAGAAAGUUCCAAUGUCAAAAGGAAAGUUGAAAGUCUCUUCUGUGUUAUGAGAAAGAGAACUUGUAGGCACAACUCUGUCGAUGAUGAUGAUAUGUUUCCGGAUUUAGAUAAUAAUGCAGAGAAAGGUGAUGGUGAUGAGGAUAUACGAAAUUGUCUGAGACCUGAAAGUGACUUCUGGUUUGAAAAUCUUACGGAUAGUCCUUAUGAUCCAUUGGAUGAAGGUACCAUUGUAGACGACAGUGGCAGUGACACAAACAUAUCUGAAUCUUCAGAAUUUGAUGUUAUAUCGGAACAUGUUCUAGAAGAAAAUGAUUUGGUAACGGGAUCGAAAUCUUUGGCUAUAUGGUCCAGUGAGGAUAAGGGAGCUCUGGUUAGUAAAUGGUCUUUAGAAACUCGGAAUUCUAUCUUGUUGUUAUCUCCUGAUGAGCAUGGUGUAAGGUCUAAAGAAGAUGAGGUGUUAUCAUCUGUUUCUGCAUCCACAAAGAAAUUACAGCAUAUCAUUGAUCCCCAAAUUAUCUCUGGACAUAGUAAUGACAUCUCUCUCUUCCAUAUAGAACGGAAAAAAGAUCGAAUAUUCUGCAUCACUGGGCAUUGUGAAGAUAUAUUGAGGUGCAGUGUCAACAAAGAAGAUUCAGAAAUCCCAUGCAAUUUUGAUAUCUUCAAGAAUGAUGGCGACAAAUCAUCUGCAAAUGAAGUUAGAUGUGGAGAUGUCAUCAACAUGCAGGGGUCUAUGGAGAUAAUGUGCAUUAAUGAUGAGCUUACACUGUGGAAUAAAGACAAUGAACCAAUACCGAUCAGCAUUGUUCCUCCUGAUGGUUGGGAAAGCGUAUUGCUAGAAACAUGUUCACUUCAUCAGAUAGACAGAUGUAUAAAUGAAUACAAUGUUCGUGAUGAUAACAUUGGCCUUGAAAUAUCUCCAAUACCUUUAACAAAAACUCUGGAAAGACCUAGUAGGCCAUUGUCAGUUUGUGGCUCUAUAGCUGCAGUCAGAAACUUACCUCUAAUGGAAGAUAGCUCAGGUGCUUGUAGUUCUUUGGAUGAACAAGUAUAUGCAAAUGCUAAUAGCUCUGAGGACAGGGACGCAGAACUUGCUCAAACCCCAUCAACUCUAUAUCAGGAAGAAGUGGAUGGAGAAGAUGAGAUUGACAUUGAUGCAAUGGUAAACCCUGAUUACUCUAUACACAAUCGUGUCACAAAUUAUCAUUCAAUGUGUUUUCUGAUCUCUGAUAUCACAUGAAAACAUCUCCAGAUCCGCAAAUUGAAUCUAGUCCCAGAUGAUUCAGAUUCAUGCUUCAACAGGGAAGGUAAACCGUAUGGCUUAUGAUGUCCAAUCAAUCAUGUAACUAAUUCACACUGUUGCAUCCAAAGAGAAUGUAAAAAAAAAAAACAGUUAUGUCUCUCUCAAACUAUAGUUGUCUCAAUUAUGGUUCGCUUCAUGAUACCUAGAAUGGAACAUAUAUAAGCACCCAAGACACGCCUUAAUUGGAUUGGAACACUGCACAAGAACUUCAUUGCAAAGAGCAAAUAUGUUUCAUGGGGCAAUUGCCAUCCUGCAUUGUCGUGAUUCAAAGCAUUUUGUCAGAAAACGCGAGGUAUGUUAGACAAAACAUUUUCUUCUGUCUUGAUGUUUUCAUGUCGUCUCAAGUCCUCUUAGUUACAUGGCAGAAGAUCAUUUAUUUGUCAUAGGUAAUUAUUGGGAGAUCAUCUGAUGGCCUGAAUGUUGACAUUGACUUGAGUAAAUAUAAUUAUGGGAGUAAGAUAUCUCGGCGUCAGGUGAUCCUCUUUCCCUUUCCCAAAUUAAAAUUAGUUCACUAGUUAAGUUCUUAAUUACCAUCUUGCUAAUGUGCUAUAUUUUCUAUCUCUAUAUUAAGGCAUUGGUUAAGCUAGAGAACAACGAAUCAUUCUCUCUAAAGAACCUUGGAAAGCGACAUAUUCUUGUAAAUGGAGAAAAACUCGAUACAGGACAGAUUGCAACCCUCACAUCGUGUAGUUCAAUCGAUGUAAGUCCGAGCUUAUGCUUUGCACUAGUGUGUUUAUGCAUCUUUCUUUAACUAGAACGCCCAAAUUUUGCAGAUUAGAGGAGUAACCUUUGUGUUCAAGAUUAACAAAGAAGCCGUGAGACAAUUCUUGAAGAACAACACACGAAGAAAGACCGAGGAAGACACCAAAUUCAGAUGGUGCGAAUAGAUUCUGUUAAAUUCUCUUUUGCUCUACCACUCUCUGCAUAGUCUUAAUGACCCAUCCACAUGAUUUAAAUGUCCAACCUGACUUAGGGUUAGGAGUUUAGACACCUAAUGCCAAUGAAUGAAUGAUCCCAUCAUAUCUGUGUUAAUGCCUUGAAGAAUAAACUUUGUAUAGAGUUUCCCAAGUGAGAACUUCAAUUAACAUUUCGUACAUUUUGACCAAUCUCUAUUAGGAAGAUUUGUUCUGUAACUCUUUCAAGCUAAAACCUUACCGUAACAAAAGCUCCCUGUUCAUCCAACUCUAUGAAAGAUCUGCUGCGACGUAUCGGUUCAAUCUCUGUUCUUGAUUUCUUCUUCCGCAUUUUCCACUUCUUCCCAAUCGAUUUUCCUGUAACCAUGUUUCCUCUGUCAGCUUCUAUUCAAUUACUUAUGCUUCUUCUAUUACCAAUUUAGAGUCUCAACAGUGAAGAUCAGCUUCUUCUCUAAUCUCUAUCAACUUCUACUCAAUAACUUGUGCUUCUCUUACCAGUUUUUAGAGUCUCAGUGGUAGUAGUUAAUCCAUCAUCUUAUUUUCCGUUUGAUUAAACUUGAUUGGUAUACUUUGGUUUAAGAGUGUUGGUUUAGUUAAACCAGGAUUUGAGUUCAAUCAUCAUCAUCAUCAUCAUCAUCAUCAUCAGUCAAAUCAAAACUCUACGAGAGAGAGAGAGAGACUGAGAAAUUCAUGGCGGAAGCUUGCAGAGUGCGGAGGAUGAAGCUAGGAAGCCAAGGCCUCGAGGUAUCGGCGCAAGGCCUUGGUUGCAUGGGCCUCACCGGUCAUUACGGUGCUUCCAAGCCGGAAACUGAAGCCAUCGCUCUCAUCCACCACGCUAUUAACUCCGGCGUUACUUUCCUUGACACCUCUGACAUGUAUGGUCCUGAAACUAAUGAAAUUCUCCUUGGAAAGGUUCGAUUUUGUUAGUAUCUGAUAUUUCAUUUCGUUCUCUGCUGGGAAAACUUAGAGAUGGGAAUUAGCCUUGAUUUGUUUGAGCUUCAUAGCUUUAGAAAUGAUUGGUCACUUGUUGAAACUUCGAAUUCUGUUAGGCUCUUAAGGAUGGUGUGAGGGAGAAAGUGGAGCUUGCGACCAAAUUUGGAAUUAGCUAUGCAGAGGGAAAGAGGGAAAUUAAGGGAGAUCCUGCCUAUGUUAGAGCUGCUUGUGAGGCUAGUUUGAAGCGGCUAGAUGUUUCCUGUAUUGAUCUUUAUUAUCAGCAUCGGAUCGAUACCCGUGUCCCUAUCGAAAUCACUGUAAGCCCUCCUCUUACUUUCAAUUGAAAUGGACGUUACUUAUACUUCAGGUGGGCUUGAGUGUGUCUCAGUAAGCUUCACAUCUUUGGAUUGGUAUAUGUUUUGAGAUGAUGUUUUCUGCUUAGGUUACUCUUUUAGAAAUUGCUAGCUUAUUCAUAUAGAACCGACUUCUGGUGAAAGUAUCUCUCAUCUACCACUUAAAAGCCACCUUGUGAGGAUAGGGUGCCCUUUAGAGUUUAGACUUAUAAGCCAUUUACUUAGACACUUUUCCUUCCAAUGUGGGAUCUUAUCAUCUCCCUUAAUGAUUGUUCGUUUAAAUAGAAGAUCCUCUCUAGUUCGAUUGCCAUACUUCCUGACCUUUAUAUAGAAAGCUGUUUUGCUGAACUUAACAAAUGUUUUGUCUGUCAAUUCCAAGAUGGGAGAACUAAAGAAGCUGGUUGAAGAGGGUAAAAUAAAGUACAUCGGUUUGUCUGAGGCCUCUGGCUCGACUAUCAGAAGAGCGCAUGCUGUUCACCCAAUUACUGCCGUGCAGUUAGAGUGGUCCCUGUGGACGAGAGACGUGGAAGAAGAAAUCGUCCCAACCUGUAGGUAUGCAGAUUUCAUCCUCCUUUCAUGAUGCAUUAAUUCAUCAAUCAUGUAACGUCUUGUCUUCUUUCUUCAGGGAACUUGGGAUUGGGAUUGUUUCUUACAGUCCUCUUGGACGAGGUUUCUUUGCAUCGGGACCCAAGCUUGUUGAGAACCUAGUCAAUAAUGACUUCAGAAAGGCAAGUACACAGCCUUUUUAUGACUUAUUUGAUUGAUUAACCUUAAAGAAGCGGUGGAUAAAUCAAAUGACUUUAUAUAAAACUCAAUUAUUGCAGGCUCUACCAAGAUUCCAACAGGAAAACUUAGACCACAACAAGAUUCUCUACGAGAAGGUUUGUGCAAUAUCAAAGAAGAAAGGAUGCAGUCCCGGACAACUAGCCCUCGCAUGGGUUCACCACCAGGGAGAUGAUGUUUGCCCCAUCCCAGGAACCACUAAGAUUGAAAACCUCAACCAGAACAUUGGAGCUUUAUCAGUGAAACUCACUCCUGAAGAGAUGUCUGAGCUCGAGACCAUUGCCCAACCAGAGUCUGUGAAAGGAGAAAGAUACAUGGCAACAGUGCCAACCUUCAAAAACUCUGACACUCCACCGUUGUCUUCUUGGAAUGCUGUGUAAAACUGUCUCAGAGUUUUCUCUGGCCAAACCGAUUGUUUAAAGAGUUUAAAUGUGGUUCUGGCCAAAGGAUGAUUUAUGUACCCAUCUUAUAUACUGUGACUAGUCUUACAAUAACUCUUACAAGCUAAAGGCUUACCAAAACAAAGGUUAUCUGUUCAAUCUCCUCUGCUCUGAUUUCUUCUUCCGCAUUUUCCACUUCGCCUUUACCAAUUUUUCUAUACCCAUGUUUCCUCUACCAGCUUCAAUCCAAUUACUUAUGCUUCCCUAGCUACCAAUUAAUCAGCUUCUUCUCUUUGAACUUCUAGUCAACAACUUCUAUAGUAAAAACAUCAUUGUUAUUUUCGGUUUUGGUUAAUUAUGCACUUCAUCAUCAACUUGAAGUUCAACAACUCUGCUCGCGCGAGGGAGAUGAAUCCAUGGCAACUUGCGGAAUGAGGAGGAUAAAGCUGGGAAGUCAAGGCCUUGAGGUAUCGGCGCAAGGCUUUGGUUGCGCUCACUACGGUCCUUCAAAGCCGGAAACUGACGACAUUGCUCUCCUCCAUCACGCUAAUAUCUCCGGUCCUCACACCAAUGAAUUGCUCCUCGCCAAGGUUUUGAUUUCGAUCAGUUUCGAGAGAUUGUUAGAGAUGUUUGGGGUUUGUGUGUUCUCAUUUGGUCGAAUCCCAAACAACAAAAACUUGGCAUUGAUUCUUUUCAUGAAUUUCAUAUUUGUAGUAUGUAGAGAUGAUGAUUACAUUGUUGAAUUUGUUUAACUCUGCCAGGCUUUGAAGGAUGGUAUGAGGGAGAAAGUAGUGCUUGCUACCAAAUUUGGAUGCAUUUUGGUUAAGGGAAAGAGAGAUGUUAGAGGAGAUCCUGAGUAUGUUAGAGCUGCGUGUGAGGCUAGUUUAAAGCGGCUAGAUGUUUCCUGCAUUGAUCUUUAUUAUCAACAUCGGGUCGAUGCGCGCGUCCCUAUUGAAAUCACCGUAAGCCCUCCUCUUGCAAAUCCUCAUCCAUGCCAUUGUUUCAAAGUUUUCAAGUCAGUUCGUCUUAGUCUUGGGAAAUGAUUGAACUAAUAGGCUCUCUGACAGUAGAUUGGAGGCGAUGAUAUUCGCUUGCGUCACUUUAAGUGAACAUUGGAGCUUUAUCAGUGAAACUCACUCCAGAAGAGAUUUCUGAGCUCGAGACCAUUUCCCAACCAGAGUCUGUGAAAGGAGAAAGAUACAUGGCCACAGUGCCAACCUUCAAGAACUCCGACACACCACCGUUGUGUUCUUGGAAUGCUGUGUAAAACUGUUUGUGAGUUUCUCUGGCCAAACCUAUGGUUUUAAGAGUUUAAGGUGGCUCUAGCCAAAGGAUGAUUUAUGACUUUAUGUAUAGAAUACAUUAUUUUCUACCCAUCUUAUACACUGUGAGUCUGUGACCAGGUCUCUGCAUAGUCUUAGUGAUCCAUAUCAGCAUGAUUUAAACGUCCCACCUGGCUUAGCGUUAGGAGUUUUAGACACCUAAUGGCUAAUGCCAAUGAGUAUUCCCAUCAUAUUUGAACAUUUUCCACUUCUUCCAUUUAAAACUUAGCUAGAGCCAAUGAUUUGGAACCAGCCUACAAGACUUCCAAGUAGACAAACUAUAGGUGACAAAAGAUAAAACUUGCCACGUACAGUAUUCUCAAAUAAAGAACACAAAUUGUAGAUAAGAACAUGAAGACCAAAAACUACCUAAUAAUACAAAACUUGCCUACUCAAGAAGACAUGACUCGUUGACUCAGGAUUCAAGACCAUGAAAAAAACAAAUAAUCGAUUAGGUGAAGACUACUGAGCACAAAGUGUUGACACAUCUUUGAAGAUAUAUCACUCAAACACGUACGUAUACAUAGUUCUCAUGUAAGACUAAAAGAAAGAUCUUUUGUAAAAGCACUUUUGUAAAAGAAAGAGGCAAUUUGAGAGUUUUUUUAAUCACACCACUCAUCAACCCAACUUCAACAACUACUCCACUCAGUUCUAAACUCUACAAAAGAGAGAAAGAGAGAGUGAGAUUUGUGACAAAAAUCCAUGGCUGAAGCUUGCAGAGUGAGGAGGAUGAAGCUAGGAAGCCAAGGCCUUGAGGUAUCGGCACAAGGCCUUGGUUGCAUGGCCCUCUCCGCUCGCUACGGUGCUCCCAAGCCGGAAACUGAAGCCAUCGCUCUCCUCCACCAUGCUAUCAACUCUGGUGUUACUUUCUUUGACACCUCUGACAUGUACGGUCCUGAGACCAACGAGUUGCUCCUAGGCAAGGUUCGAUCUACGACUUUAUCUUUUUUUAUUCAAAAGAUUGUCCUAGAUAUUUUGGUUUUUUAUCUUUUAGGAAACAAACUUAGACCACAACAAGAUUUUGUAUGAGAAAGGUUUGUUGAAAUUCAUUGUAUUGUCAGGCUCUGAAAGAUGGCUUAAAGGGGAAAGUGGAGAUUGCGACCAAAUUUGGAUUCUUUGUAAUAGAGGGGGAAAUUUCCGAAAUAAGAGGAGAUCCUGAGUAUGUAAGAGCUGCGUGUGAGGCAAGUUUAAAGAGGUUAGAUAUUGCCUGCAUUGAUCUCUAUUAUCAGCAUCGUGUCGAUACUCGUGUUCCUAUCGAAAUCACUGUAAGCCUCCUCUUUCCCAAUCCUGCUUCAUUCUAUGGUUUCAAUGUUUCCAAGUUACCAACAGUUUCUUUGUCUGUGAAUUCCAAGAUGGGAGAACUUAAGAAGCUAGUGGAAGAAGGUAAAAUAAACUAUAUUGGUUUGUCAGAAGCUUCAGCUUCAACUAUCAGAAGAGCGCAUGCUGUUCACCCCAUAACCGCUGUGCAAAUAGAAUGGUCCUUAUGGUCGAGAGACGCGGAAGAAGAUAUCAUUCCAACCUGCAGGUGUGAAGAAUCAUAACUAGACAUAAAUUUCAUGCUUGUUUACAUGUUUUAUUCACAGUUUCUUUAUAUUUCACCAGGGAACUCGGGAUUGGAAUAGUAGCUUAUAGCCCUCUAGGAAGAGGCUUCUUAGCAUCAGGACCCAAGCUUGCGGAGAAUCUGGAAGACGAUGACUUCAGAAAGGCAACUACUGUUAUUUGCAUUUGAAUACAUGAUUGAUGAACCUUUGCUCAUUUGUGUUCUUUAUCGCAGACUCUACCAAGAUUCCAACAGGAAAACUUAGACCACAACAAAAUUCUCUUUGAGAAAGUAUCUGCAAUGUCUGCGAAGAAAGGAUGCUCUCCCGCACAACUAGCCCUUGCAUGGGUUCAUCACCAGGGAGCUGAUGUUUGCCCCAUUCCAGGAACCACGAAGAUCGAAAACCUCAACCAGAACAUUGGAGCUUUAUCAGUGAAACUUACUACCGAAGAGAUGUUUGAGCUCGAGUCCCUUGCCCAACCAGAGUCUGUGCAAGGAGAAAGAUAUAUGGCCUCAGUGUCCACCUUCAAGAACUCCGACACUCCGCCGUUGUCUUCUUGGAAAGCCGCUUAAAACUGCAUGAGAGUUUCUCUGGCCAAACCGC